rnacentral:rRNA from 1 species
UUCUUGAGUGUGUACUUGUUAAGCCUUUUAAGAAAAAAGUUAUUAACUUAAGGAAUUAUAACAAAGAAGCAACACGUAAAUGGAUUUUCCAUUUUUUAGUGUGUAUCAAUCGAGUUUCUGACCUAUCAGCUUUUGAUGUUAGGGUAUUGGCCUAACAUGGCUAUGACGGGUAACGGGGAAUUAGAGUUCGAUUCCGGAGAGGGAGCCUGAGGAAUAGCUACCACAUCUAAGGAAGGCAGCAGGCGCGUAAAUUACCCAAUUCUAAAGAAGAGAGGUAGUGACAAGAAAUAACAAUACAAGGCCAAUCUGGCUUUGUAAUUGGAAUGAUGGGAAUUUAAAACCUUCCCAAAACUCAAUUGGAGGGCAAGUCUGGUGCCAGCAGCCGCGGUAAUUCCAGCUCCAAUAGCGUAUAUUAAAAUUGUUGCAGUUAAAACGCUCGUAGUUGAAUUUCAAAGAAUCGAUAUUUUAAGUAACGCUUUGUAGAUUAAUCCACAUAACUGAUACUACGUAUCGACUUUGUGCGCAUUUUUCUACUUAUGUGUUCUUUUAAUUAAAAUGAUUCUUUUUAAGAUCUUUCUUUUUUGCUUCGGCAUUUUAGGAGAUCUUGUUACUUUGAGUAAAUUAGAGUGUUCAAAGCAAACAGAUUAUAGCAUCUUUAUGCGUUUGAAUACUACAGCAUGGAAUAACAAAAUUGAACAAGUCAGAAUUUUGUUCUUUUUUCUUAUUUUGGCUUAGUUACGAUUAAUAGGGGUAGCUUGGGGGCAUUUGUAUUCAGAUGUCAGAGGUGAAAUUCUUAGAUUUUCUGGAGACAAACAACUGCGAAAGCAUUUGCCUAAAAUACUUCCAUUAAUCAAGAACGAAAGUUAAGGGAGUGAAGACGAUCAGAUACCGUCGUAAUCUUAACCAUAAACUAUGCCGACUAGGC